rnacentral:rRNA from 1 species
AGCGAACGCUGGCGGCAGGCUUAACACAUGCAAGUCGGGCGGGCAUCUUCGGAUGUCAGCGGCAGACGGGUGAGUAACACGUGGGAACGUACCCUUCGGUUCGGAACAACUCUGGGAAACUGGAGCUAAUACCGGAUACGCCCUUAUGGGGAAAGGUUUACUGCCGAAGGAUCGGCCCGCGUCUGAUUAGCUAGUUGGUGGGGUAACGGCCUACCAAGGCGACGAUCAGUAGCUGGUCUGAGAGGAUGAUCAGCCACACUGGGACUGAGACACGGCCCAGACUCCUACGGGAGGCAGCAGUGGGGAAUAUUGGACAAUGGGCGCAAGCCUGAUCCAGCCAUGCCGCGUGAGUGAUGAAGGCCUUAGGGUUGUAAAGCUCUUUUGUCCGGGACGAUAAUGACGGUACCGGAAGAAUAAGCCCCGGCUAACUUCGUG